UUCUUUAGUUAGAGAUAUUGUGUUACAAGGAACUCUGGUGAGCUAAUUGAAAAAUAAAAGCAAUUCCAGGACUGUGCCGCAACUGUAAAGUCAGAAAACUAACAAUAUUUUUUUAGAAAUG
rnacentral:ncRNA from 2 species